GUAUUAUUACAAUCUGCAUUACACAGAAACGACAUUCAAGGACGUUGUUGAGGCACAGUUCACAGGAAUUAUGAAAUAGAGUUUGUGGGGUACGCGCCAGGAGUCGCCCCCUGGCCCCCCCCCUACUAUUCAUUAAUGAUCCUUCCGCAGGUUCACCUACGGAAA
rnacentral:misc_RNA from 1 species